rnacentral:rRNA from 1 species
CCGUGAACCGGGUUGCGGACAGUGUCUGGUGGGUAGUUUGACUGGGGCGGUCUCCUCCUAAAGAGUAACGGAGGAGCACGAAGGUUGGCUAAUCCUGGUCGGACAUCAGGAGGUUAGUGCAAUGGCAUAAGCCAGCUUGACUGCGAGCGUGACGGCGCGAGCAGGUGCGAAAGCAGGUCAUAGUGAUCCGGUGGUUCUGAAUGGAAGGGCCAUCGCUCAACGGAUAAAAGGUACUCCGGGGAUAACAGGCUGAUACCGCCCAAGAGUUCAUAUCGACGGCGGUGUUUGGCACCUCGAUGUCGGCUCAUCACAUCCUGGGGCUGAAGUAGGUCCCAAGGGUAUGGCUGUUCGCCAUUUAAAGUGGUACGCGAGCUGGGUUUAGAACGUCGUGAGACAGUUCGGUCCCUAUCUGCCGUGGGCGCUGGAAGAUUGAGGGGGGCUGCUCCUAGUACGAGAGGACCGGAGUGGACGCAUCACUGGUGUUCGGGUUGUCAUGCCAAUGGCACUGCCCGGUAGCUACAUGCGGAAGAGAUAAGUGCUGAAAGCAUCUAAGCACGAAACUUGCCCCGAGAUGAAUCUUCCCUGAGCCUUUAAGGCUCCUGAAGGAACGUUGAAGACGACGACGUUGAUAGGCCGGGUGUGUAAGCGCAGCGAUGCGUUGAGCUAACCGGUACUAAUGAACCGUGAGGCUUAACCUUACAACGCCGAA